rnacentral:rRNA from 1 species
GAUGAACGCUGGCGGCGUGCCUAUUACAUGCAAGUCGAGCGAACAGACGAGGAGCUUGCUCCUCUGACGUUAGCGGCGGACGGGUGAGUAACACGUGGAUAACCUACCUAUAAGACUGGGAUAACUUCGGGACACCGGAGCUAAUACCGGCUUAUAUAUUGAACCGAAUGGUCCAAUAUUUAAAGACGGAUUUUUUGUCCCUUAUAGAUGGAUCCGCGCCGUAUUAGCUAGUUGGUAAGGUAACUACUUACCAAGGAAACGAUUCUUACCCAACCUGAACGGGUGUUCGGCCACACUGGAACUGAGACACGGUCCAGACUCCUACGGGAAGCAGCAGUAGGGAAUCUUCGGCAAUGGGCGAAAGCCUGACGGAGCAACGCCGCGUAAGUGAUGAAGGUCUUCGGAUCGUAAAACUCUGUUAUUAGGGAAGAUCAAAUGUGUAAGUAACUAUGCACGUCUUGACGGUACCUAAUCGGAAAGCCACGGCUAACUACGGG